rnacentral:rRNA from 1 species
CCUACGGGAGGCAGCAGUGGGGAAUAUUGGACAAUGGGCGAAAGCCUGAUCCAGCAAUGCCGCGUGAGUGAUGAAGGCCUUAGGGUCGUAAAGCUCUUUUACCAGGGAUGAUAAUGACAGUACCUGGAGAAUAAGCUCCGGCUAACUCCGUGCCAGCAGCCGCGGUAAUACGGAGGGAGCUAGCGUUGUUCGGAAUUACUGGGCGUAAAGCGUACGUAGGCGGUUAUUCAAGUCAGAGGUGAAAGCCCGGGGCUCAACCCCGGAACGGCCUUUGAAACUAGGUAGCUAGAGUCUUGGAGAGGUCAGUGGAAUUCCGAGUGUAGAGGUGAAAUUCGUAGAUAUUCGGAAGAACACCAGUGGCGAAGGCGACUGACUGGACAAGUACUGACGCUGAGGUACGAAAGCGUGGGGAGCAAACAGGAUUAGAUACCCUGGUAGUCCACGCCGUAAACGAUGAUAACUAGCUGUUCGGGUACUUGGUAUCUGAGUGGCGCAGCUAACGCAUUAAGUUAUCCGCCUGGGGAGUACGGUCGCAAGNUUAAAACUCAAAGGAAUUGACGG